AAAAAACCUCACCUUUUUCAAAACUUUGUUUUCGCCAUACGCCGCCACCACCAUGAUUGAAUUUGUCAACCAAUUUACCUUUCCCCAACUCCACCAUCAACUGUGUCACCGUCGAUUAUUUCCCUUCCCCCUCUACCAUCAACCAAGGCACACUUCUCCAUCUAUUCCCCAAACGUUGUUGUUUGCCUCCCCAAAUACCGCAACAUUUCUCCAACCUUAAAACGUCAUCGUUCACAUCUUCUCCCUACCAUUGUCACACCUUCAUACAACAACAACCACCAAUCUCGAAAUACCAAAACCCGCACCACCCACUGUCACACAGCUAAAUUUUAGAACACUGCCACGUCACCCCAAAAGCUAAACGCCGAGACUACCCAAACACCAAAAACCACCACUGUGAACCACCGCUGUAAACCGUCGCAACAAAUGCCAUCACUUACUUUUCAACUAAAAUGUCAGCCAUGGUUCGAACUAGAAAUCAAGUGGUUGAUGGUUUCUCGGCUUCACGUAAUCGAGAUCGAAAUUGAUUUUCGACA
rnacentral:lncRNA from 1 species